GGCUUGGAUUUUCCUUUCCCUCGUAAGAUGGGAGCUGGGAGACACCAAGUUCUGUCCAAUUAGUCAUAUAGAUAAAAAAAUAGUAUGAUAUGAAAUUUGGCUUGUAGAUAGGUCAUCUAUUCUGGCCGGAGGUCAGGUGCAAUUCUUUCAAGUCAUGGGUCACCCAGCACCUUAUAGUUAUGAUAUAGCCAAUUUAGAUUUGCCCAAAAUUAUUUUCCAAAAGCACAAAAGAAAUGGACCCGAUUCGGACCCAAACCCGACUCGGAUCCGAACCCGACUCGGACCCGAUUUGAAGUCAAAUUUGUACUCAAUGUGCAUUUUAUCUCUAAUUUAUACUAAUCUAUGUUAAACCCAAAUAUAAUAUUAAUCCAGUAAAUUUAUCAUUAUCGGUUAACAAUAACACUAAUUUUAGUAACAUGUAGGUCGCACUUUUGUGCUCUCAUCAAAUGGCAUAACGGUAGAUAUGUUGAAGUGUUAGGGGCAAAAUGGAAAUUUAAUAAUAUUAAACAAAGGGUGAAUAGUGUUUUGAUGUGAUUUAAUUGGAGGGUUUGAGCUGGCUCACGGGAGUGAAAUAGAGAGGAGAGGGGGAGGGUUCUCAGACGACACAGAGAGAAAGAAAAAGAGAAGAAGAAGAAGAAAAAGAAGAAGGAAGAGGGAUUCGAGGUGGAAGGGAGUCCCGGUUGCACUUCCAGCUGAAGGGAAAAGUGUAGAUCUCCUUCUUCUCUACGCAAGGACCUCAAUUUCCAAAAAGAAAAAGAUAAAUAUCCAUCCCUAUCUAGUCUUUUGAUGAUAUUAGGCUAUAUAAAGGGUGGAUAUAGUCUAGAGGGGUCGGAUAAGGGUUGUAGAGGUGGUUAAAAGAGGAAGAAUCGGAUUUUGACAAAUUUUUCCGGCACUACGGAAAAACUGUGUCGAAGUCCCAACUUCAGCGAAUUAU
rnacentral:lncRNA from 1 species